rfam:Fluviicola taffensis DSM 16823, complete genome.
UAUCUUUGCAUCGUAAUUCCAAAAGUUGGGGUUCUACAUAAUAAUCAUUCAAGUAAUAUUGGCAUG